rnacentral:tRNA from 1 species
GCCGGAGUGGCGGAAUGGCAGACGCAGCGGACUCAAAAUCCGCCGCUCGCAAGGGCGUAGGGGUUCGAGUCCCCUCUCCGGCACCA